GUCUACGGCCAUACCACCCUGAAUACACCUGAUCUCGGCUGAGGCUAAGCAUGGUCAGGCCUGGUUAGGAUACUUGAAUGGGAGCACACGCCUGGCAAACAAGCAGCCGGGGACA
rnacentral:rRNA from 1 species